rnacentral:tmRNA from 1 species
UGCACUGACAGGUCUCCUGGGUCAGAUGGGGUCAAACCCGCCGCAGUGUCAUUCACAGGGACUAGCAAUGAAUCGGGUUACUUGGUUCAACGCGAAACUCAAGGUGACUCGCCUGUGGUCGGCCUGCCGAUUGGCUAAACCCCGGGUUAAACCCAAAUAGGUCGGCUAAGUAUGUAGAACUGACUGUAGAGGACUUGCGGACGGGGGUUCGAUUCCCCCCGGCUCCACCA